AUCGAACGCUGGCGGCAGGCUCAACACAUGCAAGUCGAACGAGUGGCGGACGGGUGUGUAACGCUUGGGCAUCUUGCUCAUGGAGGGGGAUAACCACGGGAAACUGUAGCUAAUACCGCGUACCAUAGGAUGAGCCCAAGUGGGAUUAGGUAGUGGGUGAGGUAAAGGCUCACCAAGCCGACGAUCUCUCGCUGGUCUGAGAGGAUGACCAGCAACACUGGGACUGAGACACGGCCCAGACUCCUACGGGAGGCAGCAGUGGGGAAGAUUGCGCAAUGGGGGCAACCUGACGAAGCCAUGCCGCGUGAAUGAAGAAGGCCUUCGGGUUGUAAAGUUCUUUCGGUAGCGAGGCGUUAACUACAGAAGAAGCACCGGCUAACUCCGUGCCAGCAGCCGCGGUAAUAC
rnacentral:rRNA from 1 species